GGCAUGUGGAGGUUCCUGGGCCAGGGAUCAAACCCAUGCCCCAGAGGUGACCUGAGCCACAGCAGUGACAACACUGGAUCCUUAACCUGCUGAGCCACCAAGGAACUCCUAUCUUAGUGUAUUUUUAUAGCUCAUUUCAUCACCAAAAGAUGCUGAAUAAGAGAAAAGGAGUAUAGAAGCAUUUCAAAAUUUCUUCUACUUAAGAUAAUUGUCAUAUGUGUUUCUGUCAUCCUCUGACACAUUAAUGCACACAGUAGAUGCUCAACCAAUAUUUGUUUGGAUAUGAUCAAGUUAGUUUCCCUCCUGACAUCCUUUUGGGCAUUCCAUUCCCAGUCUUCCUAAAUUUGCUUUGCAGGCUCCUCUUAAUUUCUCAAUCCCUUUGAGGAUAUUGUUCUCAGGGAUUUUAUCUUAGGGCUUCCUGGCCCUGAUCUGGUUACUCCCUGGGUUUUCACCCCCCACCCCCAACAGCUCUGAAUAUCCUGGCUCCCUCCUGAACACUUGUUAAAUGCCUAGCCAAACCAGGCAUUCAGCUGUUUUAUGAUGAACAACAUAAACAUUGUUUCUACCUCCAAUGGAAUUUAUAUACAAAGGAGGAAAGAAUAUAACAAGUAACUAAGCAAACAAUAUAAUUUUAAGUUGUAAUAUAUGCUGUGAAGGGGAGUUCCCAUGGCAGCUAAGUGGAAAUGAAUCUGACUAGCAUUCAUGAGAGCACAGGUGUAAUCCCUGGUCUUGCUUAGUGGGUUAAGGAUCUGGCAUUGCUGUGAGCUGUGCUGUAGGUCACAGACUCGACUCUGAUCCUGUGUUGCUGUGGCUGUAGUGUAGGAAUAUGGCUACAGCUCCAAUUUGACCCCUAGCCUGGGAACUUCCACAUGCAGUGAGUGGGCAGUCUCCCAGGAGACCCAGGAGGAGGAGGAAGAGGAGGAGGAGGAGGAGGAGGAGGGAGGAGAGGCUCUUGAUGGAGGAAAUGACAGCACAAACACCCAGGGUGGGAAGGGUUUGACUGGGCUCAGGAAGCUAAAGACUUGAGGAUCUGCAGCAAAAUAAGAAAAGGGAAGAAAAGUGGGGGUCUGCAUCCUUCAGGGACUUUGUAAGCCGUGGUAUUUGCAUUUUAUCUUAAGGACAAAUGAGCAACAGCUGCUGAACGGGAAAUAAAAUAGUUUAAGAAAAUCAUUUUUCUCAUCGUGGAAAAUAACAUACUGUCUUUUCUAUCAAAGGAAAUCUUGGUUACUCCAUUUUGCUCUGGUUUCCACUGAAGCACCUUCCUGCAACCCUGUCCUCUUUCCCUCCUCUCCCAGUAACAAUGUUUCAAAUUAGCCAACCAAGAAGAAUGUGUACCCUGACCUGACAAAUGGGAAGGGGACAGGUGGUACAUCACCUGUGUUCGGGAUAAAUAGGGAGGGUCUUCUCUUCUUUGCGUGCGCUUUUUGAGUACCCGCACCCUUCAGCAGAAGUAAAGAGCCUUGUUGAGAUCGCCCCGUGUUCAUGUGUCUCAUUUUCCGACACAGACGAUUUGAGCCAUCUCCCCAACACUAUUCUGUGGGGAAUGGAUUGGAGGGAAACCUACAAUAGAAUUGGGAGGAGGUUAAGACUUGAGGUGUCCUGUCCUACUAAAUGGUGGAUAGUGACAAUGUAGACAAUGAUGAGAACAGUAGAAAUGAGUAGAUCAGAGAUGCAGAAAUAGAAUUGAGAAGACUUGAAUCACAACAUGCCAUUCAGCUUUCAUAAAUUGUUGACAGUGUCCAAGCAAAGAUAUAAGGCCAUUAUUAAAGCCUAAUAUAUGCUAUGGUGCUGAAUUUUAUAGGCACACAGGCAUAAAGUUCCAUAACUCACAUAAUCAUUUUCAUUAGCAAUAUAUUUGUAGGAAAUAAACCAGAAGCAUAAAAUAAACAAACGUCCUCAAAUUAUACUUGGUGAAAGGCACUAUUUUUUUUAAACAGCUAUUUAUUUAUUUAUUUAUUUAUUUAUUUAUUUAUGUCUUUGCCAUUUCUUGAGCCGCUCUCGCGGCAUAUGGAAGUUCCCAGGCUAGGGGUCCAAUCGGAAAUAAAGCAUAAAAUAAACAAAGGUCCUCAAAUUAUACUUGGUGAAAGGCACUAUUUUUUUUUAACAGUUAUUUAUGUAUUUAUUUAUUUAUUUAUUUAUGUCUUUUUGCCAUUUCUUGGGCCGCUCUCAUGGCAUAUGGAAGUUCCCAGGCUAGGGGUCCAAUUGGAGCUGUGGCCACCGGCCUACUACAGAGCCACAGCAAUGUGGGAUCCGAGCCACGUCUGCAGCCUACACCACUGCUCACGGCAAUGCCAGAUCGUUAACCCACUGAGUGAGGCCAGGGAUCGAACCCGCAACCUCAUGGUUCCUAGUCAGAUUCAUUAACCACUGUGCCACAACAGGAACUCUAAAAGGCACUAUUUUUGAGAAUUUAGGAAUAUAGAGGAGUGGGAAUGGAACUGAGCAGGAUCCUAUGAGGCUCCUGGACACAGAUACACAUAAUAUCUCUGAGCUUUUCUGCAGAACUAAAACCCCCAACAAAUGGAAGAUGUUAACUACUUGAUAAAGCAUUCUUCAUUUCAGAGAGAAGGUCACAGUUUGAUAACCUUGAACCAUAGAAGCUCAUUAGGAGACCCUCCUCAGCCAGAUUAAAGGAAUACGGGCCCUGCAUACACCCUGAUCCUUAUCAGCAAUCCUGCCCUUGGAUGAGUGCUGUAAAAUUCCUCAUCAAAUCCUCUGGGUUGGGACACUCGGUUUAUGAGCCCGGGUUUGGGCAAUGAGAAUGCCUAAAAAUUGUAUGUUAAAGUUUUCAUAGAACAAUCAAACUCCUGAUAACUAUAAUAGUAAGAAAAGCUAAUACUUCCAUUCUUAUUGGAAUUCCCAUCGUGGCUCAGAAGAAGUGAAUCUGAAUAGCAUCCAUGAGGAUUGGGGUUCAAUCCCUGGCUUUGCUCGGUGGGUUAAGGAUCUGGUGUUGCCAAGAGAGCUGUGGUGUAGGUCGCAGAUGUGGCUAGGAUCUUGCAUUGCUGUGGCUUCGACAUAGACUGGCAGCUACAGCUCUGAUUCAACCCCUAGCCUGGGAACUUCCAUAUGCUUUGGGUGCAGCCCUAAGAAGACAGAAAAAAAAAAAAAAAAAAAAA
rnacentral:lncRNA from 1 species